AAGUCUGUUGGGUGGACACUUCCCCUGAGGGGCAGGGCAGGAUGGAGGUGCUGCUGGAAAGUGACACAGACCUGCCAACGACCUGAGCUGGGAUUCAGCAGAGGCUUCCCUUUGCUCCCAGACGGCAGCCGUUUGAGGGAAUGUAAGCUAUUUUCUUGAACACCUACUGCUUAGAGCAAUGGGGAACCAAAGGUGUCCAGGGAACUGUGACACAGUGCACAGUGGUGGGGCAGACAGACAGGGUGUCAGAAUGAGGUGCAGGGCGGUAGCUGGACAAGCAGCCACCUCACUUGGGAUCUCCCUGCCCAGGAAGGGCCUGACUUUCGUCUCUGUGCACGACUGCUUCUGGACGCAUGCCGCUGACAUCCCCAUGAUGAACGAGGUAUGCCGCGAACAGUUUGUGCGCCUGCACAGCGAACCCAUUCUGGAAG
rnacentral:lncRNA from 1 species